AUGUCACAGGGCCGCGUCAACGGCUCCAUGAACAGCGGGUUCGACUUUCAGUUCUGCAACAUCUCCACGCACGACGGUCUCCUACGUGCGCAGGCCAACCAGACCAACAAAGCCGCCGCCACGCAAACCUUCCUGGGCCGGCUGUGGAAGGCAUACUUCGCAAGUGGUGUUCAUGCAAUGCUAUAUUGGUAUCGUGCCCUGGUGGCUCAAGUGGGACGAGAACCAACCACGCUCGGCACGCUCUACUACGGGGAAUACAUAAACACGGGCCCUAGCGUCGGCGCCGGCGGCAAGUUGAGGUUGCCGGGCUGCAACAUGAAUAUGACCCAGGCCGAGGCCAGUAAUUUCAUCGUGGCGCAGCUCAUCGACCGCAACAUGUGGCUGCCGGCCAUGGGCGUCAGGUUCAUGUCUGGACUGCUCGCGUCUUUGAUCGAUGAGCUGAUGAGUCUGUCUACCAUGAGAGGGACCCGAGACAUUUCCGUCUUCUACCGCUGCGCUUUCGAGGGCCACCAUGACACGAUGUACGCGCACUCGCUCCGUCAGUUCUACCGCGACUGCCACAUCGUCGGCACUGUUGACUUCGUCUUCAGUGACGCUGCCGUUGUCUUCGAGAACUGUCACCUCCUGGCCCGCGCCCCGCUCCCGGGCCAGAAGAACUUCGUCACGGGCCAGGGACUCGUCAAUGGCUCCAGGAAGAGUGGCUCCGUCUUCCAGUUCUGCAACAUCUUCGCGCACGACGACCUCCUACGCGCGCAGGCCAACCAGGCCGGCAAUCUUGGUCCAACAAAUAUUGGACCUUAG
rnacentral:rRNA from 1 species